AAUGAAACAAAUGACAUAUGACAGAUAACAUUUCUUCAUCGAUAACGUGUUAUAAUUACUGUUACUUUGUAACUUUAACGUUUUGUACCUUAAAAUAACGCUACUGUUUUUAGGGUCGCAUUUAGAAGUUAUGCGGUCGCAAAAAACGUACGCUGCGUGUACCGAAUGCGAUUGUAUUUAGAUUGGCGGUCUAUUUUUAACAGAUUAGAAGGGUGAGAUAGUGAGACAACAAACCGUAUUAAGUGAUGUGAGGUGAUUUAUAUAUCAUACAUCAAGAUAAAUAUAUAUCAACACGAUAAGGAUGUUUCAGUACUGUGUCCAGAUACGUAUAUAUUGGAUACUAAAUCAGAGCAACAGCAGGGCGUGCGCACGGAGAAAUGGCUGUAUUGUGCGCACGCGCAGUGGCCAACAUUACAGUCAAUUAUAGGACACCUGGGUAACCGGAGGUUCAUCGCCCAAAAUCACAAGAAAGUAAAGGUCAAGCAACCCAUAAAGGUAAAAAGCGAAGCUAGUUUGUCUCCAGUGCCGACCGGCAUAUCACUCUUCUAAACGGUGACUUCCUUCAUAGUUCACCCCACUUUAUGAGUCGGCACUAAUUUUGCAGUAUCAGAAAUUUUGAUCCUGGGUUGUCGCAUCAGAUUGUAGUCAAAUCAGGGGCCGUGACGACAACAAUGGUUCAGGACCCCUGGCCGUUUGUACUUUCGCUGUACCGCCGCCGCGUCGACCAAUCACAGUGCGCAGUGACGUCACCAGUCCAGUAACUGCCAACGUUUUUGUACUCAUUAUGCGAGAGUAACAAUUGACCUAUCAUGUACAUAUACCUAUUUAUUGUAAUAAAACAUUUG